rnacentral:rRNA from 1 species
CAAGUCGAACGGAAUCCAUGGUGUAGCAAUACACCGGAAGAUCUAGUGGCGAACGGGUGAGGAUCACGUGAGAAACCUGCCCCAGACUCUGGGAUAACAAUUGGAAACGAUUGCUAAUACCGGAUGACGUCGGAGAACCGCAUGGUUCACUGACGAAAGAUAUUUCGGUUUGGGAGGGUCUCGCGGCCUAUCAGCUUGUUGGUGGGGUAAUGGCCUACCAAGGCAACGACGGGUAGCUGGUCUGAGAGGAUGAUCAGCCACACUGGGACUGAGACACGGCCCAGACUCCUACGGGAGGCAGCAGUGGGGAAUCUUGCGCAAUGGGCGAAAGCCUGACGCAGCAACGCCGCGUGCGGGAUGAAGGCCUUCGGGCUGUAAACCGCUUUCAGCAGGAACGAAAAUGACGGUACCUGCAGAAGAAGGAGCGGCCAACUACGUGCCAGCAGCCGCGGUGACACGUAGGCUCCAAGCGUUGUCCGGAUUUAUUGGGCGUAAAGAGCUCGUAGGCGGUUUAGUAAGUCGGGUGUGAAAACUCUGGGCUUAACCCGGAGACGCCAUCCGAUACUGCUAUGACUUGAGUUCAGGAGGGGAGCGGGGAAUUCCUAGUGUAGCGGUGAAAUGCGCAGAUAUUAGGAGGAACACCGGUGGCGAAGGCGCCGCUCUGGACUGAAACUGACGCUGAGGAGCGAAAGCAUGGGUAGCAAACAGGAUUAGAUACCCUGGUAGUCCAUGCCGUAAACGGUGGGCACUAGGUGUGGGUUCCAACUAACGGGAUCCGCGCCGUCGCUAACGCAUUAAGUGCCCCGCCUGGGGAGUACGGUCGCAAGACUAAAACUCAAAGGAAUUGACGG